rnacentral:ribozyme from 2 species
UUCUUAAUGCAGCUACGAAAAAGCCGUGACAAGCCGGUUAUAUGGAAAUGCAGAGUCAAGAA